rnacentral:rRNA from 1 species
UUAGAGAGCUUGCUUUUUAAGCUUAGUGGCGAACGGGUGAGUAACGCGUGAGUAACCUGCCCUAGAGUGGGGGACAACAGUUGGAAACGACUGCUAAUACCGCAUGAUGCAUAGGGGUCGCAUGAUUCUUAUGCCAAAGAUUUAUCGCUUCAAGAUGGCCUCGCGUCUGAUUAGCUAGUUGGCGGGGUAACGGCCCACCAAGGCGACGAUCAGUAGCCGGCCUGAGAGGGUGAACGGCCACAUUGGGACUGAGACACGGUCCAAACUCC